AGUCAAUCCGUUUGGGCCUUAGGCCCAAACCUAACCUAAAGCUGCAAUGUGAACUGAACUUCAAAAGGAGUGAGGGAAAAUCGCUUCUCGAUAAGUUACAAAUGCGAAUCGAAAACUAUUUUGUGAAAAGAUUCAACGUCAACAAUGCACUUCUUCGACAUCCGGCAUCGCAUACAUAACACCAUCGCAUUUCAAACCCUCAGUUCGCGCUUCGUCAUCGACCUCAACGCGUUUCCCCUUGCGCUUCGUCAUCAACCUCAACGCGUUUCACCUUGCGCUUCGUCAUCAACCUCAACGCGUUUCACCUUGCGCUUCGUCAUCAACCUCAACGUGUUUCGCCUUGCGCUUCUCAUUUCGUCAACUCAAUGUUCAAUUUAGACGAUUCAAGCUCCAACAGAUAUGAGUUCAAUCAACAAAAUGUGUAAAGGAGCAAGAACUCACUGUUUUGACGCGGAGGCAAAAAGAGGUACGAAUUCCUUCUCCUUCCUCUGUUUCGAUUUGAUUUCCAUUAUUUUUCUUCUUUAACUCCUCUGUGUUUUGGUUGUUGUUGAUUCAAUGUGUCAAAAAGAGGCUUGACUUUGUAUUGCUAGAUAAGUGGUUUUGAACAUUGCAACUUUAGUGAAAUCGGUGAUUGCAAUCGGUUCUGAAGUUGGUUGGGUUAAUUGAUUUAUUACUUUUUGCAGAGUGUAUUAUUUUGUUGAGUUAUGCAAUUGGAAGCAUGGGCUAUUUGGAAUUAACUUAUGAAAUUGGGGUUGAAAUUGGAUUAAUUAUGAGACCUGUUAUUUGGGUUUGUAGGACUGUAAAGGGGAUUAAGCAGAAGAUUGUAUGAAGACUUAGUUAUGAAUGAAAAUGUAUACGAAAUUGAUUUGAAUGUUUUGGUUUGAAAUGUGGAUUGGUGUGGAACUUGUUAUGGAAUAUUGAUUGAAUUGUGUAUGCAUUAGUAUGAAUGAAUUCUAUAUUUGAAUGAUUUUAAAUAAGUUUCAAAGGACUUAAAUGAAAAAUUGAAUGCUUAGUUUGAAUGAUUUUCAAAAGUUACAUUAAAAUGUGUUUGAAUAGUUAACUAACAUGGUUUCAAAGUAUGGCUUGAAUUUUGUAGGUCACUUGAGGGAGCUCUCAUUUGCUUGGAAUCCUUGAAGAUUGGAGAGGCUAGGCUUGCUUAGGUUCUAUAAAACUAAUGGAUUAGCAUUGAGUAGGAAUUGUAGUAUUGUAAUAAUUUAUGCAUGUAUCUUAUGACUUGAAAAAUAUGCCUUGUAAUGGAAACAAAAGUUUGAAACACAUGAAUGGAACUUAAUUGAACAUUGCAAAUUCAUGGA